AUAUUGGACAAUGGGGGAAACCCUGAUCCAGCAAUUCCGCGUGAGCGAAGAAGGCCUUCGGGUUGUAAAGCUCUUUCGGCAGGGACGAUAAUGACGGUACCUGCAGAAGAAGCCCCGGCUAACUCCGUGCCAGCAGCCGCGGUAAUACGGAGGGGGCUAGCGUUGUUCGGAAUCACUGGGCGUAAAGCGCACGUAGGCGGCUACUCAAGUCAGAGGUGAAAGCCUGGGGCUCAACCUCAGAAUUGCCUUUGAAACUAGGUAGCUUGAAGAUGGGAGAGGUAAGCGGAAUUCCGAGUGUAGAGGUGAAAUUCGUAGAUAUUCGGAAGAACACCAGUGGCGAAGGCGGCUUACUGGACCAUUCUUGACGCUGAGGUGCGAAAGCGUGGGGAGCAAACAGG
rnacentral:rRNA from 1 species